rnacentral:piRNA from 1 species
UUCAUUCAGCAAAUGCAGCUCAAAAGGCCA